rnacentral:rRNA from 1 species
UGAGUAACGCGUGGGUAACCUGCCCUUAAGUCUGGGAUACCAUUUGGAAACAGAUGCUAAUACCGGAUAAAAGCUACUUUAGCAUGAAAGAAGUUUAAAAGGCGGCGUAAGCUGUCGCUAAAGGAUGGACCUGCGAUGCAUUAGCUAGUUGGUAGGGUAACGGCCUACCAAGGCGAUGAUGCAUAGCCGAGUUGAGAGACUGAUCGGCCACAUUGGGACUGAGACACGGCCCAAACUCCUACGGGAGGCAGCAGCC